GAUGAACGCUAGCUACAGGCUUAACACAUGCAAGUCGAGGGGAAGCGACAUCGCAAGCUUGCUUUUGAUGGGCGUCGACCGGCGCACGGGUGAGUAACGCGUAUCCAACCUGCCCAUCACUUGGGAAUAACCUUGCGAAAGUAAGACUAAUACCCAAUGACAUCCCACGAAGACAUCUGAAUGGGAUUAAAGAUUUAUCGGUGAUGGAUGGGGAUGCGUCUGAUUAGCUUGUUGGCGGGGUAACGGCCCACCAAGGCAACGAUCAGUAGGGGUUCUGAGAGGAAGGUCCCCCACAUUGGAACUGAGACACGGUCCAAACUCCUACGGGAGGCAGCAGUGAGGAAUAUUGGUCAAUGGGCGAGAGCCUGAACCAGCCAAGUAGCGUGCAGGAUGACGGCCCUAUGGGUUGUAAACUGCUUUUAUAAGGGAAUAAAGUGGGUCUCGUGAGACUUUUUGCAUGUACCUUAUGAAUAAGGACCGGCUAAUUCCGUG
rnacentral:rRNA from 1 species